rnacentral:rRNA from 1 species
CGAGUGAAGCGGGAAAAGCUCAAAUUUAAAAUCUGGUGGUCUUUGGCCAUCCGAGUUGUAAUCUAGAGAAGUGUUACCCGCGUUGGACCGUGUACAAGUCUCCUGGAAUGGAGCGUCAUAGAGGGUGAGAAUCCCGUCUUUGACACGGACUACCAAGGCUUUGUGGUGCGCUCUCAACGAGUCGAGUUGUUUGGGAAUGCAGCUCAAAAUGGGUGGUAAAUUCCAUCUAAAGCUAAAUAUAGGCGAGAGACCGAUAGCGAACAAGUACCGUGAGGGAAAGAUGAAAAGAACUUUGGAAAGAGAGUUAAACAGUACGUGAAAUUGCUGAAAGGGAAACGCUGGAAGUCAGUCGCGUUGGCUAGGAAUCAACCUUACUCUUUUGUAGGGCUUACUUCUUAGUUGACGGGCCAACAUCAAUUUUGAUUGCUGGAGAAAGGCUUAGGGAAUGUGGCACCUUCGGGUGUGUUAUAGCCCUAGGUUGUAUACAGUGGUUGGGAUUGAGGAACGCAGCACGCCGUAAGGUUGGGUCUUCGGACUACACUCGUGCUUCGGAUGUUGGCAUAAUGGCUUUCAUCGACCCGUCUUGAAACACGGACCAAGGAGUCUAACAUGCCUGCGAGUGUUUGAGUGGAAAACUCGAGCGCGUAAUGAAAGUAAUAGUUGAGAUCUCUGUCAUGGAGAGCAUCGACGCCCGGACCUGAUGUAUACUGACGGUUCUGCGGUAGAGCAUGUAUGUUGGGACCCGAAAGAUGGUGAACUAUGCCUGAAUAGGGUGAAGCCAGAGGAAACUC